UACAGAGGGGGCAAGCGUUGUUCGGAAUUACUGGGCGUAAAGGGCGCGUAGGCGGCCUUCUAAGUCGAACGUGAAAUCCCCGGGCUCAACCCGGGAACUGCGUCCGAUACUGGAAGGCUUGAAUCCGGGAGAGGGAUGCGGAAUUCCAGGUGUAGCGGUGAAAUGCGUAGAGUAUCUGGAGGAACACCGGUGGCGAAGGCGA
rnacentral:rRNA from 1 species